rnacentral:rRNA from 1 species
UACGUAGGGUGCGAGCGUUAAUCGGAAUUACUGGGCGUAAAGCGUGCGCAGGCGGUUUUGUAAGCCAGACGUGAAAUCCCCGGGCUCAACCUGGGAAUGGCGUUUGGGACUGCAAGGCUGGAGUGUGGCAGAGGGGACUAGAAUUCCUGGUGUAGCAGUGAAAUGCGUAGAUAUCAGGAGGAAUACCGAUGGCGAAGGCAGGUCCCUGGGCUAACACUGACGCUCAUGCACGAAAGCGUGGGGAGCAAACAGG